UAUUAGAAAGAAUACCAAUUGCGAAGGCAGCUUUCUGGAUCAUUACUGACACUGAGGAACGAAAGCAUGGGUAGCGAAGAGGAUUAGAUACCCUCGUAGUCCAUGCCGUAAACGAUGUGUGUUAGACGUUGGAAAUUUAUUUUCAGUGUCGCAGCGAAAGCGAUAAACACACCGCCUGGGGAGUACGACCGCAAGGUUAAAACUCAAAUGAAUUGACGGGGACCCGCACAAGUAGUGGAGCAUGUGGUUUAAUUCGAAGAUACGCGCAGAACCUUACCAACACUUGACAUGUUCGUCGCGACUUUAAGAGAUUAAAGUUUUCGGUUCGGCCGGACGAAACACAGGUGCUGCAUGGCUGUCGUCAGCUCGUGUCGUGAGAUGCUGGGUUAAGUCCCGCAACGAGCGCAACCCUCACUUUUAGUUGCCAUCAUUUAGUUGGGCACUCUGAAAGAACUGCCAGUGAUAAGCUGGAGGAAGGUGGGGAUGACGUCAAGUCCUCAUGGCCCUUACGUGUUGGGCUACACACGUGCUACAAUGGUAUCUACAACAGGAAGCAAGACUGCGAAGUUAAGCAAAUCCUUAAAAGAUACCUCAGUUCGGAUUGCACUCUGCAACUCGAGUGCAUGAAGCUGGAAUUACUAGUAAUCGUGGAUCAGCGUGCCACGGUGAAUGCGUUCCCGGGCCUUGUACACACCGCCCA
rnacentral:rRNA from 1 species